UCACUUCUUUUUAGUCGACAU
rnacentral:piRNA from 1 species